AUGGUGUGUGCACGUGUGCACUGUGUAUGCAUGGUGUGUGCAUGUGUGCACUGUAUGCAUAGUGUGCACGUGUGCACUGUGUGUGGAUGCAUGGUAAUGUGCACGUGUGCACUGUGUGUGGUGUGUAUGCAUGGUGUGUGCACGUGUGCACGGUGUGUGGUGUGUAUGCAUGGUGUGUGCACAUGUGCACUGUGUAUGCAUGGUGUGUGCACGUGUGCACUGUGUAUGCAUGGUGUGUGCACGUGUGCACUGUGUGGUGUGUAUGCAUGGUGUGUGCACAUGUGCACUGUGUAUGCAUGGUAAUGUGCACGCGUGCACUGUGUGUAUGCAUGGUAAUGUGCACGUGUGCACUGUGUGUGGUGUGUAUGCAUGGUGUGUGCACGUGUGCACUGUGUAUGCAUGGUAAUGUGCACGUGUGCACUGUGUGGUGUGUAUGCAUGGUGUGUGCACGUGUGCACUGUGUAUGCAUAGUGUGUGCACGUGUGCACUGUGUGUGGAUGCAUGGUAAUGUGCACGUGUGCACUGUGUGUGGUGUGUAUGCAUGGUGUGUGCACGUGUGCACGGUGUGUGGUGUGUAUGCAUGGUGUGUGCACGUGUGCACUGUGUAUGCAUAGUGUGUGCACGUGUGCACUGUGUGUGGAUGCAUGGUAAUGUGCACGUGUGCACUGUGUGUGGUGUGUAUGCAUGGUGUGUGCACGUGUGCACGGUGUGUGGUGUGUAUGCAUGGUGUGUGCACGUGUGCACUGUGUGCAUGCGUGUGUGGUGUGUGUGCAUGUAUGCAUGGUGUGUGCAUACGUGUGCAGCAGCACCUGGUCCCAUCUCCAGUGCCCAGCAGCAUCACACGCACUUUGGUGCUUUAUAAAUGCAUGGUCAGUGAGGCUGACAGCACCAAGCUGUCCCUUUACCAUAACACCUGGAAUAGUCACCUGUGAUAAGCUAUCACAUAGGAAACAUUUUUAAAAUUUCAUUCUCAUUAUUUUCUGUAAUCUUGAGAGGUUCCAAUCAACAUUUAUUGCCUUAUUCUUUUUAUCUCAUUCCUUUUUGAAUGUGUUUAUCUCCUAAGAUUUUAUCUGUGAUGGAGAUGGGAUGCCUGUGAAUACAAAAGUUGCAGUGGUGGCACCAGGGUGGGGGGGUGCGGCCGGGGCCACCAUGGUCUCCCCUGAGAGGGGGUGCUGUCUUAGGUGCCCCAAGAGGCCCUCGGGCAGCAAGCGUGGGGUGCUGCCAAAAUACAGCUCCCCCUGGGUGGGCAGGACACACGUGGCCUCCUGGCAGACAGGUGCCUGGGUGAGCCCGCUGCUCCUGAUUAGUCAUGAAUGGCACCUGGUCUGGGCGACAGUCACCCGCAGGAAGCCCUGAGCUGGCCACCAUCACCCUGGGCAGUGGCUCCCGGGGUGCCAACAAGACCUGGGCCCCUCGUUCUUUGGUGCUGAGAGCCCCAGCUGAGGCUGUGGAGGAGGCCCUGGACCUGGUCUGGUGUCUGUCAGAGGCAGGUGCCCAGUCCUUUGACUUGCUUCUCUGAAUUGUCAUAAUUGUGCUGGAAUUGUGCCAGAAACUGGUAGUGAUAACAGCUCCUGGAAGGCCUGUGGCUGCUGAGGGCUGCCUGGUCCCCCUCAGGACGGCCGGGGGAGCCUCUCCAGAAGCACCAGCUUUGUCUGCAGGUGGACGUUGAAGGGGGGCAGUUGGGUCAGGUUCAGACUCACACCUGUGGUCCCCACGACGCUGGCCAGGACCCGGUGUGUGUCCCUGUAGAGGGCCAGGAGCCCAGGGGCCGCCUCCAUGAGGAUGUGUGUGUAUGCCAGCAUGCCUGUCCCCGGCUGCACAUCCUCCCUCUUGUCGUACCUGUGGGAUGAGAGCUGGUGGUCCUGCCCAGGGCCCCCACAUCGCCCUGUCCCCCGCCCCCAAGGGGCCCUCACAUGGCCUCUGGGAGGGCCGUGCUGUGUGUGGAUCCUACCUCCAGGCGCUGUUGACUUGGAGAAACCGAGACACACCUGUCUGGGCGGCUGCCACGUCAAUGUGCAGAAGGACGUCUAGGAAAACCAGGCCUGCCGUCAGAGCCCAGCCCUGCAGUCGGAGCCACAGCAGUCCCCAGGCAGUGCCCCCAGCACCCACCUGUCUGGGGGGGCACCAGCUGGUGCAGCCUCUGCAUUGCGACGCCACCUGGGUAGUUGAAAUGGGACACAUACAGGGCCGUGGCUGAGUAGGCGGCAUUCACCACGAGGUGUCCGAUCACAAGCAGAGACCCCGCUUUGUACAGCCAAGACUUUUUAUAGUUAUUCAGCCUGAAAAAAGAAUGGUUACACAUCAUAGGCAGAACGUAAUGACAAUAAAAUUAAUCUACCUACAAAACAU
ensembl:lncRNA novel transcript, antisense to ALG12